GAUCAUGGCUCAGGAUGAACGCUGGCGGCGUGCCUAACACAUGCAAGUCGAGCGGGAUCUUCCGGAUUGAAGCUUCGGCAGAUUGAAGGAAGUGAGAGCGGCGGACGGGUGAGUAACGCGUAGGCAACCUGCCCUUUGCAGAGGGAUAGCCAUUGGAAACGAUGAUUAAAACCUCAUAACACCGAGAUAAGACAUCUUUUUUCGGUCAAAGAUUUAUCGGCAAAGGAUGGGCCUGCGUCUGAUUAGCUGGUUGGUGAGGUAACGGCUCACCAAGGCGACGAUCAGUAGCCGACCUGAGAGGGUGAUCGGCCACAUUGGAACUGAGACACGGUCCAAACUCCUACGGGAGGCAGCAGUGGGGAAUAUUGCACAAUGGGCGAAAGCCUGAUGCAGCAACGCCGCGUGAGUGAAGAAGGUCUUCGGAUUGUAAAACUCUGUCCUUGGGGAAGAAGAACUGACGGUACCCUUGGAGGAAGCCCCGGCUAACUACGUG
rnacentral:rRNA from 1 species